rnacentral:lncRNA from 1 species
GACAUAAACUGGCAUGUUCUGAAAGAAUCACUCUGGAUGCUGUGUGGAGAAAACACUGAAAAGGAAUUUGUUAUCUCGAUUAUGGAGGGCGACAAGUCCCACAGUCUGCCAUCUGCAGGAUGGAGAACCAGAGUGAGGAGACAUUUGGAAUAAAUAUGGCUUCUGGGGGCCCAUUCCUAUGGAUCAGCAGCUGGCUUCUGGAGGCCCAUUCCUGUGAAUCGUCGAUCUCAUAGAAGAUAAUAUUGUUAGAAGGCUUACCUCAUUGAUGCUGAACAUCCUAAAAAGCUUCUGCUGCUUUGAGUCACUGAAAAAGACCAAGAAACAUGAAUUUAAAAAAAAAUUUCAAAUGUUAUAAAAUAAAUAAUAUGAACUCAUUAUACCUACAAUGAA